CCAGCCUGGUUUCCUACGGGAGGUCCGCUUUGGGGGAGUGGGGAGCGGGGCACUUCUUACUCCUCCACUGGCCGCCCGCGAGGAGGCCAAAGAGCGGACACAGCCUCCGAGCAGCCUAGAGAGGCAGCGGAAGUGGCCGGGCGUGCGCCGGAAGGGGGUCCGCGCGGCCUCGCCUGCCCGGCUCCGGAGCCUCGGUGGUAGCCCCUUCGCGGCCGGGUGAGCGCCGGCCUCGGCACGUGUGUCGUCUGUGAUGGCACAGAGCGCUAGGGUGCGCGCCCGCGGGCCGCGUCGGCGUGACGCGGUGCCUCCCUGGGCUCCGAGCCGCGUCUGGGAGGAGCGCUAAUCCCCUCAGGCGGCCGGGCCGGACUUUCGUCCCUACGGCCCUCCUAGAGCGGAGGGCGCGCGUUGCGGGCUGCUCCCCGUGGGCUGGCGUGGAGGUCGUGUCCCGUGGUCGCUGCUGGGGACGACAUCGCCGGCCGGACUCGCGCAUGACCGAGAGUGACGAGCGGCUCCCCGCGCACGUGCCGGCGCGCUUGCCGUUCGCGUCUGCCGCCUGAGGUUUUCCUCGAGGGUGUCCCGGCCCAUGUCUAAUAUUCCACCUUAAAUGCAGGGGAGGUAGACUGUUUACAAAGUCUCCUGUCCUCUAAAACUUCGUACGAUGAGAUUCUGUCACUUCUGUCAUCAAAAGGUGGAGUCUACUUGUCCUUCCCUUGAAUCUAUGCUGGCCUGUGACUUGCUUUGGCCUAGAGAAUACGGGAAUAAUCGUUCUGCAAGAGGAAGUGCUUACAGCUCUUGGCACACUGCCAUGAGACUGCCAUGCAUAGGGCAUGUGGAUUGGAACCCAGGUGCCCCCAACUAAAGCCCAGCGGGGCCUUGUUCCCAGCUGAUUCACCACCUGAGUGCAACCACAGACUCACGUCUUGAAAUGACAGUAGAUGCCUCCAGCUUCCAGCCUCUCCUGGGUCGUAAUUCCAGCACAUCCCAAACUGAAAUCAAAGUGUCCUCGGAGCUGAACUCACUGUUUCCCCCAUAUUUCCAUUGGCAUCACCACCAUCCUCCAUGCAUUCAGGCUUAAAACCAGCCCCUGUACAAUAUUAUUCUGAGUCCAGUCAAUUCUUCCUCCAAAACGCCUCUAACAGCCAUUACUUCCCUUUUAUUCCCCUAUUACCAUUUACAUGGCAAUAAAAUUUGCAAUACAGUAA